GAUGUUUAAAUAAUAUUUGUAUUAGACAUCAGCCAAUAUCAAAACGAUUUCGAGUAAAGGAAGAUUGCAUGGCGCUGCUACUUUCGCUGGCACAUUAUUUGCAUAGAUGCGUUUAUAUGGAACGCAGAGAUAUACACAUAGAGGUGAGAGAGUGCGAUACGGCAUAGAACAUAUCCGCGACUUCAUUCCUCACGACGGCGCGAAUCGAUAAACGGCGACCAUCACGCAACACACAAACCCAUCCUCGCCAACCACCCCGACCUCGACGACCGGCUGCACCAUUCCCCGGAUCGUACGGCAUCUCUACACAUCUUGUUACCAUUAAAAUAGACAGAGCUUUCGAUGCAUCAUCGGUACACUCGGCAAUUACAUAACCUAUAAGUUUUCCUUUCGUCGAAUAUAUUUUUUCAAACGAAAGGAUAAACUCAAAAAUUUGGGAGGUCAAGUAUACGAAACGAGAAAAACGUGACAGAUUUACUAAAGAACAAUCCAUUCGAAGCAGGUAUUCGAGUACCUAGAAAUGAGGUUAUUCUAGAUGAUAAUAUAUAAUAUAUGCGCUUAUAUAUUUUAAAUAGAAUAGAUAAAAUUAAUAAAAA
rnacentral:lncRNA from 1 species